GAUGAACGCUGGCGGCGUGCCUAAUACAUGCAAGUCGAGCGAACGGACGAGAAGCUUGCUUCUCUGAUGUUAGCGGCGGACGGGUGAGUAACACGUGGAUAACCUACCUAUAAGACUGGGAUAACUUCGGGAAACCGGAGCUAAUACCGGAUAAUAUUUUGAACCGCAUGGUUCAAAAGUGAAAGACGGUCUUGCUGUCACUUAUAGAUGGAUCAGCGCUGCAUUAGCUAGUUGGUAAGGUAACGGCUUACCAAGGCAGCGAGGCAUAGCCGACCUGAGAGGGUGAUCGGCCAGACUGGAACUGAGACACGGCACAGACUCCUACGGGAGGCAGCAGUAGGGAAUCUUCCGCAAUGGGCGAAUGCCUGACGGAGCAACGCCGCGUGAGUGAUGAAGGUCUUCGGAUCGUAAAACGCUGUUAUUAGGGAAGAACAUAUGUGUAAGUAACUGUGCACAUCUUGACGGUACCUAAUCAGAAAGCCACGGCUAACUACGUG
rnacentral:rRNA from 1 species